rnacentral:rRNA from 1 species
CCUACGGGUGGCUGCAGUGGGGGAUAUUGCACAAUGGGGGAAACCCUGAUGCAGCGACGCCGCGUGUGGGAAGACGGUCCUCUGGAUUGUAAACCACUGUCCCCAGGGACGAAGAUGACGGUACCGGGGGAGGAAGCUCCGGCUAACUACGUGCCAGCAGCCGCGGUAAUACGUAGGGAGCAAGCGUUGUCCGGAAUUACUGGGUGUAAAGGGAGCGUAGGCGGGGUGGCAAGUUGGGUGUUAAAUCUACCGGCUCAACUGGUAGUCGCACUCAAAACUGCUAUUCUUGAGUGAAGUAGAGGCAGGCGGAAUGCCUAGUGUAGCGGUGAAAUGCGUAGAUAUUAGGAGGAACACCAGUGGCGAAGGCGGCCUGCUGGGCUUUUACUGACGCUGAGGCUCGAAAGUGUGGGGAGCAAACAGGAUUAGAUACCCUGGUAGUC